AGUGAACGCUGGCGGUAGGCCUAACACAUGCAAGUCGAACGGCAGCACAGUAAGAGCUUGCUCCUACGGGUGGCGAGUGGCGGACGGGUGAGGAAUACAUCGGAAUCUACUUUUUCGUGGGGGAUAACGUAGGGAAACUUACGCUAAUACCGCAUACGACCUACGGGUGAAAGCAGGGGAUCUUCGGACCUUGCGCGAUUGAAUGAGCCGAUGUCGGAUUAGCUAGUUGGCGGGGUAAAGGCCCACCAAGGCGACGAUCCGUAGCUGGUCUGAGAGGAUGAUCAGCCACACUGGAACUGAGACACGGUCCAGACUCCUACGGGAGGCAGCAGUGGGGAAUAUUGGACAAUGGGCGCAAGCCUGAUCCAGCCAUACCGCGUGGGUGAAGAGGGCCUUCGGGUUGUAAAGCCCUUUUGUUGGGAAAGAAAAGCAGCAGGUUAAUACCCCGCUGUUCUGACGGUACCCAAAGAAUAAGCACCGGCUAACUUCGUG
rnacentral:rRNA from 1 species